CUACGGGGCGCACCAGUGGGGAAUAUUGCACAAUGGGGGGAACCCUGAUGCAGCAACGCCGCGUGGAGGAUGACGCAUUUCGGUGUGUAAACUCCUUUUAUAUGUCAAGAAAAUGACGGUAGCAUAUGAAUAAGCACCGGCUAACUCCGUGCCAGCAGCCGCGGUAAUACGGAGGGUGCAAGCGUUACUCGGAAUCACUGGGCGUAAAGGACGCGUAGGCGGGCUUGUAAGUCAGGUGUGAAAUCCUACAGCUUAACUGUAGAACUGCACUUGAAACUACGAGUCUAGAGUAUGGGAGGGGGGGAUGGAAUUAGUGGUGUAGGGGUAAAAUCCGUAGAUAUCACUAGGAAUACCUAAAGCGAAGGCGAUCUCCUGGAACAUAACUGACGCUAAGGCGUGAAAGCGUGGGGAGCAAACAGGAUUAGAUACCCUAGUAGUC
rnacentral:rRNA from 1 species